UACGGGGGGGGCAAGCGUUGUUCGAAAUUACUGGGCGUAAAGGGCUCGUAGGCGGCCAACUAAGUCGGAUGUGAAAUCCCCAGGCUUAACCUGGGAACUGCAUCCGAUACUGGAUGGCUUGAAUCCGGGAGAGGGAUGCGGAAUUCCAGGUGUAGCGGUGAAAUGCGUAGAUAUCUGGAGGAACACCGGUGGCGAAGGCGGUUCUCUGGGCCGUUACCUGACGCUGAGGAGCGAAAGCGUGGGGAGCGAACAGG
rnacentral:rRNA from 1 species